rnacentral:rRNA from 1 species
UGCGCAGGCGGACUAUUAAGUCAGAGGUGAAAUACUGCCGCUUAACGGUAGAAUUGCCUUUGAUACUGAUAGUCUUGAGUACAGUUGAGGUAGGCGGAAUGUGUUGUGUAGCGGUGAAAUGCUUAGAUAUAACACAGAACACCGAUUGCGAAGGCAGCUUACUAAACUGUUACUGACGCUGAGGCACGAAAGCGUGGGGAGCGAACAGGAUUAGAUACCCUGGUAGUCC